UACAGAGGGUGCAAGCGUUGUUCGGAAUUAUUGGGCGUAAAGCGCGUGUAGGCGGCUUUGCAAGUCGGGUGUGAAAGCCCCGGGCUCAACCCGGGAAGUGCACUCGAUACUGCCGAGCUUGAGUAUCGGAGAGGUGGGUGGAAUUCUCGGUGUAGAGGUGAAAUUCGUAGAUAUCGAGAGGAACACCGGCGGCGAAGGCGGCCCACUGGACGAAUACUGACGCUGAGACACGAAAGCGUGGGGAGCAAACAGG
rnacentral:rRNA from 1 species